GACGAACGCUGGCGGCGUGCUUAACACAUGCAAGUCGAACGGAAAGGCCCUGCUUUUGUGGGGUGCUCGAGUGGCGAACGGGUGAGUAACACGUGAGUAACCUGCCCUUGACUUUGGGAUAACUUCAGGAAACUGGGGCUAAUACCGGAUAGGAGCUCCUGCUGCAUGGUGGGGGUUGGAAAGUUUCGGCGGUUGGGGAUGGACUCGCGGCUUAUCAGCUUGUUGGUGGGGUAGUGGCUUACCAAGGCUUUGACGGGUAGCCGGCCUGAGAGGGUGACCGGCCUCAUUGGGACUAAGAUACGGCCCAGACUCCUACGGGAGGCAGCGGUGGGGAAUAUUGCACAAUGGGCGGAAGCCUGAUGCAGCAGCGCCGCGUGCGGGAUGACGGCCUUCGGGUUGUAAACCGCUUUCGCCUGUGACGAAGCGUGAGUGACGGUAAUGAGUAAAGAAGCACCGGCUAACCACGUG
rnacentral:rRNA from 1 species